rnacentral:hammerhead_ribozyme from 1 species
GCGCUAUUGAGGAGUCCCACAAUAGGACGAAACGGUCGUCCAGUGC